GGCGGGGCUCGAGGCGCAGCCCGGCCAACGGCUCGCACCGCCUCCAGAAGACCGCACGGGGGCGCUGCCGGCACGCGUUCCCGCCCUGCAGGCCAGGUUCCCGCGCAACGGCGGCUGAGGGGAGGGGCUGCGUCCAGAGCAGAGCGGCCUCAGGCAGAAAUACUCCUCGUUGCUGCAACAUCAGUAACGAUUUGUGAAUCUAGCUAUGUUGACGACUCUGUUGAAAUCAGAGCAGCUAACUGAUAAGAUUAAACGUGUGCUCACUCCUGAUCGGUGCAGCCUGUGUGACCGUACAAGAUCUGGAAACUUCUGUGACGCAAAAUGUGUUGAAGGAGGCCAGCCAGCUGACUUGUGUACCACAACAUCUCCUGCAACACAGCUGGUGGUAGGAGCAAUUGGAUGUAUUCUGUACAGAAAGAGGAAGCGAUCAACCUUGCAAAAAAUGAUCAGAGAGCUCUAUGAGCAGCCUGCAGACAAUCUGCUUAAAGUAAGUAAAAAGUAUCAUCUCCUAACAGUCCAACUGGUUAAUUGUACACCCAAGAUGUUGUUUGUGUUAUGUACAUCACACUUAGACAUAUGCAAAUGCAUAUGUAUAAACACUUUCAGGUGCAAUUGUCUAGAGGAAAGCAAUUUGCAUCUGUGUUAU
rnacentral:lncRNA from 1 species